GUGGGGAAUCUUGCGCAAUGGGCGAAAGCCUGACGCAGCCAUGCCGCGUGAAUGAUGAAGGUCUUAGGAUUGUAAAAUUCUUUCACCGGGGACGAUAAUGACGGUACCCGGAGAAGAAGCCCCGGCUAACUUCGUGCCAGCAGCCGCGGUAAUACGAUGGGGGCUAGCGUUGCUCGGAAUUACUGGGCGUAAAGGGCGUGUAGGCGGACAGUUUAGUCAGAGGUGAAAGCCCAGGGCUCAACCUUGGAAUUGCCUUUGAUACUGGCUGUCUUGGGUACGGGAGAGGUGAGUGGAAAUCCGAGUGUAGAGGUGAAGUUCGUAGAUAUUCGGAAGAAAACCAGUGGCGAAGGCGACUCACUGGCCCGUUACUGACGCUGAGGCGCGAAUGCGUGGGGAGCAAACAGGAUUAGAUACCCUUGUAGUCC
rnacentral:rRNA from 1 species